CCUACCCAAAUAGCCACUUCUUCCUUCUCCCUUCAAUCCCCCUCUCUUUUUACUCGUAAGAAAGGGAAAAUUUAGAUGUCAAAUUGAGUAGUGCAGUUUUUACAGACAAAUUAAACGUAGGAGUGCAGUUGUUUUCCCAUUAGUAAGAAAGAAUGGGAGUUGCAGUUUUGCAUUUCAAUAUUAAUAGGUACUUCCUGGAACCUCAACAACUCGGAAACGCCACGAAGAGGGAAUCAAGCAAUUUAAAAGUGAAGCUCAACGCAUGGAUUCUCACAAACAACGGGAAGGAAAAACACUGCUUCUUUUCCAACCCGUUACUUCUCUCAGCCGACGCAGCGGCAUCACGCGUGGAGAACAUUGCGUAUAGCACAGAAAUACUACAAACAUCCUGUGCAGACUACAACAUUUGCUUCCUCCAUAGCCGCGAGUGAGACGGGACUUCAAGGAUAAACCUUACGAGGUGGGAAAACAGUCUCAGGAACAGGUUCGGAGCUUUGGUUGUGGGAUUGCUUCACUCUAGCACACAGCCAUACAGGAGCCUGACGCCUUCAGUAACACUACGGCCGAACUGACUGAAGGAAAACGGACUCUCAAAGCAGAGCGUUUCAUCCUCAGCAGGAGACGGAUCGGAGACAGCCAUGGGCUCACGCCUCCUCCCACCGCUCCUAUAGGAAUAGGGUAACCCGUCUGGGUUUUGCUGCCACUGUGUGGCCGUCGAGAGAAAGGAUGUUCGGGACACUGUCGUAUAGUUACUCUAUUUUUAUUGUAAAGCCUGGAAGAACUUACAGCAUCCUUAUACUACAGCGUUGCACCCUGGAUGCAUACACAUCCCUGUAGCUAUAUAGGUACAAAUUGCCUCUAAGAGAGAACUAGAGGCUUGAUCUUAGAGGACUCCUGUCCCAAGAGAUGUUGGCAGUUUGUCGUUCUCCCUGAAAGGUAAAAGCUUACCGUUAUCAUCAGGCAGCUCCAGCUAAACAUUGCUUUCUUUGCAUUAAACCUGGCAGCCAGUUUUUAGAAAGAAUUUAAGCAGAAUGAAUGAUCAGCAGAGAGCUCCUAAGUCUUCAGUCAGCAAUACUGUGCACAGCCUCCUGCUCAGCCACAGCACUAAACCUUUAGAACUAACGUGCCUGAAAUAUUACAGGAACCCAAAUUCUUCAUUAUUACUUUCAGAGUUAAAUAUUGGCUCCAACUCAAAAGGCAAGCAGUGCAUCAAUUCCUGCGCUGCUUUUACACGGCAUAAUUUGGAGAAAAAGCAUUUGGGGUUACUUUGCAGAAAGCCAACACCUGCAGUUCGGCUGUGAACUUGCUCAGAUGCUUUCAUGCUACAAGAGAGAUGCCAGAAUACCUCAGAUUCCUGUUUCCAGUAAGAGCUCUCAUGCUUUAAGCAAGGAGACACUCCCAUUCAAUCAGGGGGUGGCAGUAUAUUCUGUGGGCAGACAUCUGUUUCACAUCAAUAAAAGAUACAUCCCAUCCAUUACAGUCUCUGAUCCCUACCCUUUUCUGAUAAACAUUUUACGUUCAGAUGCACUCCUUUCACAAACGAGCACAAUUAACAAUUUUCCCUGCCAUAAAAUCAAGCAUUGGAACUCAGAAAAACAGUGGGCAAGACUGAAAAUGCCUUUCAACUUCAGCCCCUUAUUGGCUAAUAAGUGGAAAAUCUCUUUUUCUCCCUCUCUGCUCCAACAUUAUGCUUCUACUUCGGAAUUAUCUAUGCCAGUAAUAGUCUGAAGAUGGAGCAUUCCUUCAAAUGUUGCCUCCAGUUAUGAGCAAGAGCCACCAGGAAGAUCCAUCCAGAGGGACUGCUGGACUCAUUUGACAGCACUGAAUGGCCUCAUGUAUGCUCAGACAUCUCCUUCCAAGUCCACGUGAAGAGGAAGGCAUAAGGGCUGAAGAAUUGGAGCCUGAACGUAGCAGGAAAACAGACUAGGAGGCUUGAUUACAUUUUCCAUCGAGUUACCCUGCUUUAUUGCAUUGCAGUCCUUGAAAAUUUGAUUAGCAACUUCUCCUCUUCGUUCACCCUUCUGACAACUGGAUUUCCAACCUCUGAUCCGUAUCUGCAAACAUGCUAAUGCAGAUCCCAGCCAGGUCUUGCCACUACCCAUUCCUGACAUACUCAAAUUCAGGUGUCAGGAACUCCAAACUUAAUCUGUAGUUAACUGUUUCAAGCUCCCUAAAGGCAGAACUGAAGGAAGGCCAGGGCAGAUCCGGACCCGAGUCAAAGUGCAGAGCAUGGAUUG